GCAGCAAGGACUUCCCUUGGCGGGGAGGGCAGCAGUGGGGAAAUAUUGCACCAAUGCGAAGGCCUGAUGCAGCGACGCCGCGUGGGGGAUGACGCUUCGGUGUAACUCUUUUACCAUCAACGCAGGCUCACGUUCUCGUGGGGUGACGUAGGUGGGGAAUAAGGACCGGCUAACUACGUGCCAGCAGCCGCGGUAAUACGUAGGGUCCGAGCGUGUCCUGGAAUUAUCGGGCGUAAAGAGCUCGUAGGCGGCGUGUCGCGUCUGCUGUGAAAGACCGGGGCUUAACUCCGGUUCUGCAGUGGAUACGGGCAUGCUAGAGGUAGGUAGGGGAAACUGGAAUUCCUGGUGUAGCGGUGAAAUGCGCAGAUAUCAGGAGGAACACCGGUGGCGAAGGCGGGUUUCUGGGCUUACCUGACGCUGAGGAGCGAAAGCAUGGGGAGCGAACAGGAUUAGAUACCCUGGUAGUCCAUGCCGUAAACGUUGGGCGCUAGGUGUGGGGACUUUCCACGGUUUCCGCGCCGUAGCUAACGCAUUAAGCGCCCCGCCUGGGGAGUACGGCCGCAAGGCUAAAACUCAAAGGAAUUGACGGGGGCCCGCACAAGCGGCGGAGCAUGUUGCUUAAUUCGACGCAACGCGAAGAACCUUACCAAGGUUUGACAUCACCCGUGGACCUGUAGAGAUACAGGGUCAUUUAGUUGGUGGGUGACAGGUGGUGCAUGGCUGUCGUCAGCUCGUGUCGUGAGAUGUUGGGUUAGGUCCCGCAACGAGCGCAACCCUUGUUCUAUGUUGCCAGCACGUUAUGGUGGGGACUCAUAGGAGACUGCCGGGGUCAACUCGGAGGAAGGUGGGGACGACGUCAAGUCAUCAUGCCCCUUAUGUCUUGGGCUGCAAACAUGCUACAAUGGCCGGUACAAUGGGCGUGCGAUACCGUAAGGUGGAGCGAAUCCCUUAAAGCCGGUCUCAGUUCGGAUUGGGGUCUGCAACUCGACCCCAUGAAGGUGGAGUCGCUAGUAAUCGCGGAUCAGCAACGCCGCGGUGAAUACGUUCCCGGGCCUUGUACACACCGCCCGUCACGUCAUGAAAGUCGGCAACACCCGAAACUUGUGGCCUAACCCUUCGGGGAGGGAAUGAGUGAAGGUGGGGCUGGCGAUUGGGACG
rnacentral:rRNA from 1 species